rnacentral:rRNA from 1 species
CACCAGACUCCUACGGGAGGCAGCAGUAGGGAAUCUUCCACAAUGGACGAAGGUCUGAUGGAGCAACGCCGCGUGAGUGAAGAAGGGUUUCGGCUCGUAAAGCUCUGGUGGUAGUGAAGAAAGAUAGAGGUAGUAACUGGCCUUUAUUUGACGGUAAUUACUUAGAAAGUCACGGCUAACUACGUGCCAGCAGCCGCGGUAAUACGGAGGAUGCGAGCGUUAUCCGGAUUUAUUGGGUUUAAAGGGUGCGUAGGCGGAAUGCCAAGUCGGCGGUAAAAUCGGGGGCCUCAACCUCGCUCCGCCGUUGAAACUGGCGUUCUUGAGUGGGCGAGAAGUAUGCGGAAUGCGUGGUGUAGCGGUGAAAUGCAUAGAUAUCACGCAGAACUCCGAUUGCGAAGGCAGCAUACCGGCGCCCAACUGACGCUGAAGCACGAAAGCGUGGGUAUCGAACAGGAUUAGAUACCCCAGUA